GCCCGCCUAGCUCAAUCGGAUAGAGCGUCAGACUCUUAAGACGGGAGAUGGGUGUAUCUGAAGGCUGCGAGUUCGACCCUCGCGGUGGGCU
rnacentral:tRNA from 1 species